rnacentral:lncRNA from 1 species
CGAGCUUCUUCGUAGCUGGAUCCCAGACGAGCUUCUACAAUGGGAUAGGACCCACCGGCCAGGUCGCUACUUCAAGCUCCCACGGUAAUCGAUCUUCGAUCGAGCUUCUACAAUAAGCGGUCUCCUUUCAGCCUUUUACAAGAACCAGACUCCGUCCGAACUUCCAUAGCGGAUGGAUAUCAGACGAGCUUCUACGACAGACAGACUCCAGCAGUUGAAUUUCUACAACGAUCGAUCGCCUCCGAUGUCUGUCGAACCUCCCCAACGCCAUCCGAAGUCCAUCAUCGGCCGACCCUCCGCCAGAUUCUUCAUGAAACCAGACUUCUCCAAUGGAUGAUCUUCGGACGAGCUUCCACAUCAGGCAAAUCUCAGACGGACUUCUCUAGCAAUCGGACUCCUACCGGACUUCACCGAUGAAAAGUCUCCAUCCGAGCUUCUACGACAGAUGACUCCCACCUGUAGUAUCAGCACCUAAGAUAUCUGACAACAGUAGGCUCGUCAGCAGCUUCGAAAACAUUCGAGCUUCUCCUAAAUCGAUGGGAUAGAGAGCCAUUCCGCUCCAUCAGAUGUCCCAAUCGAGCUCCAGCCG